AAAAGACCAAUUAUUGCCUGAUGUCUUUAAACAGCAGUUUGUCUUGUUGCCGGCCAAUUUCUGUGAACUGCAGUACUAAAAUGCAUUGGCUAUUACCACCAACAACUACAGGUGUUAUCUUAAAUACUGUAAUACUGAAAAUGUAAUGCAGUAUAUCGCACCUAGUAAACUGAUUGUCUUUCCAAUGUCAACAAUAGAUGUACGAGCUUCAAAAAGCCAAAUGUAUGGCAGAGCUUUUGUAUAGGAUUGCGUUAGAUUGCACGGUUUUCGUGCUUAGUGAGUGUUUAUGUCUGACUUUUUUUCAUAGCCUUUAUCUUUUUCCUGCUCACAUACCUACAGAUAAAAGUCCAUUCUGUGCCCUGUACUCCUUUGGGCCCAAAGGACAAAGCACACAACAGUAAAACAAAAACAUCAAGAGAAACACAUCCAUACACCAAAUCACAAAAAAUGCAGAAAUACACAGUCAACAGGGAAAAUGCUACCUAAAAAGUUGCUACAUCAGAAGUGCUCUGCUCUGCUUGAUUUGAAUAAACAGCAACACUGCUGAAGAGAUCAAAUCAAGAGCUAUUGUGUUGCUAUUAUGCAAGCGACUUGUGCCACCAUACCAAAUAUAUCCCAAGAUCUUCAUAAAAUAUGUACUUAAGCGCUGAUGCAGUGGCACGAACCAACUUCAUAGAUCCAAACACGGACGUACGCACAAAACCAACUUCAGAAAAUUUGAUUAUGUGAGGAUAAUAUUCACAGUUUAAAAAUAUUUAAGCAAAAAAAGAAAAAAAGCAAAUUAUUCCAGCACGCCAAUACAGAAACACGAGUCUAACCGGCACUGAAAGUUCACGACUCGCUCUGCGUAUUUUAGUCACUCUUUUCUCUGUUAUUUGUAUCAUGUAAAACAAACAUUGUUUAAUUAAAGAUUCACAGACCUCAGCAGUCGCUUCUCAUGUGCUCACUGAUGUGCUAUCCUCCAUUGUUUUCACCACUGUUGCAGUCUUCAAAAUGCUUUAAAUAGUGCGGCUGUUCAAACAUUUUCUUAUUUGCCGAGGCGAUUUUAAUCUCUAACGCCUCAUCUCAGUGUGUCGAGCUGAAAUAACUCUCAUCUGCAACUAAGCAGGCGAGAUAGGCAUUUGUAAUUGAUGUUCUGUCAUCACAAUAACAAGGCGCAUAAAUGCCCAAGAGUAUUCAAGCUAUGUGAGGUACUCAGAAGUCAAACAGGGAGACAAAAAUGGAACACUCGUGUUGUGGUAGUUUGCGUUGAAGCCCUCUGUAUGUUUCUUUCUUUACUUGCUUUUUUCCAAUUAAAAUUUCAUUGUACGAAUAA
ensembl:lncRNA